rnacentral:rRNA from 1 species
UUGGGCGUAAAGCGAGCGCAGACGGUUGAUUAAGUCUGAUGUGAAAGCCCGGAGCUCAACUCCGGAAAGGCAUUGGAAACUGGUCAACUUGAGUGCAGUAGAGGUAAGUGGAACUCCAUGUGUAGCGGUGGAAUGCGUAGAUAUAUGGAAGAACACCAGCGGCGAAGGCGGCUUACUGGACUGUAACUGACGUUGAGGCUCGAAAGUGUGGGUAGCAAACAGGAUUAG